AUGUUCCUCCUGUGAAUUUCCUCUUUAUUCGAUAAGAUCAUUGGCUCUUUCUGAACAAAUAACCAGACGGAUUGGAGUACCGCUGGAGGUUGACCAGGUGAUUCUGGACAUACGGCAAGAGCGAAGAAAGCUUUUCAUUCAAACACACGUCCAGUAUGAAUGAAGAUGAAAUGGAGAACACAUGAUCUACGAGUGAAACUCUGCAAACACGUGCUGAGGAGAGAAUGGCAGUAAGUACAGUAAAACACUGUUCGCUGAAGGACUUUCCAAACACCAACACCUGCUUCUACUUACAGGACACACCAGAAUCCACUUACCAAAGCCAAUAAAUGCUCGAAUGCUGCAGAAAUACAGGAAUCAGCAUUCCACACCGAGGGAACGGCUUCCCACUUUCCUUUAAGAGCAAUUACAGAACGGCACGUCAGAAGACGCUUGAAACAAGCCAGUGAAGCUCAACAGACCCAUGAUUAGAUAAAACCAGGUCCUGUUUAUUAUGAAGGAAUCAUACAGAGCAAAAAAUGAUGUUCUUCUUCAGUAUUUUUGUCUUGUUUUCCAGUACAAAUAUCUGAACAUUCUUAAAUCAAGAUACAGACGACAGAAAUUUGCGUAUCAAAUGUGAUAUAGCAGGCUUUAUGGGCUAGAGUCGGUUUGGGGUCAUAAGGGCUGCUGUAAACAUGUUAUAAAAAGAUGAUUCCUCCAAAGAUCUGAGAGUUUGCCUUCAGGCACUAAACGGCGGCUUUUAAAAGGGCGUUUUUUUGGUUUUAAGAGGCCGUAUGUUGUGUAAAUAGAGAGCAGGCCGAGCAUCGCUGGCAUUGGGUUAAUCUGAUGGGGAUUAGGAGCCCCAGUCCUGAGGGAGGCCCGGCUACUCUCGGCUUCGAGGGCCAGCUGUCACAGAGCCGCUCCGGGACGCGUCUGAUUGAAGCCUGUGGGCCCCGAACACAGCGGGACCUGCUGCGCUUCAUGAUGCACAGAUGAGGGCAGGGCUGUUACAGUUAACACAGACUAAAACCAUACAAAUGAGCAUUUCUGUUACUAGAAAUAAAGAAUAAUAAUAAAGAAUAAUGAAAAUAACAACAAAAAUAUAAUAGAAUAAUAUUAAAUAAUAAUAAUAAACAUUAACUGAAACAGCUGUUUUCUAUGUGAAUAUAUAGUAAAGUGUAAUUUAUUUCUGUGAUCAAAUCUGAAUUUUCAGCAUCAUUACUCCAGUCUUCAGAUGAUCCUUCAGAAAUCAUUCUAAUAUGAUGAUCUGAUGAUCAAGAAACAUUUAUGAUUAUUAUAGUGUUGAAAACAGUUCAUAUUUUAAGUUGAAAAGAACAGCAUUUAUUUGACCAUUAUAAAUGUCACUUUGGAUCAGUUUAAUGUGUCUUUGCUGAAUAAAAGUAUUAAUUUCUUUUAAAAAUUAAUAAUAGAGAUGCACUAUUACUUUUAAGUUUGUUUUGUUUUGCUUUGCUCUUGGUUUGAAUAGACCUUUUGUCUGCUUCUUCAUUUGAUGUGACCUUUAUUUUCCCAGCAGUCCCAGCUGAUGCUCUUCAGCUCCGUCUCAGACACAUCAGACUGUCUCUGCGCCUCAGAUGUGUGCAGAUAUUGUGAAGAUUCAGCACAUCUGUAGCUCAUUUUCUGUCAGUUUGAUGCGAUCAGGACUACAGCGUGAACGGUUCUGCUGUGGUGUGCAAAAUACGUCCAAACAAGCACAUAAAUUAUGUGGAUUGUUGAGUGGAGGCUUAUUAAGUCAUAGACGAGAUUAAAUCAAGAACCGGUACAGCGGCUGAUCAAGUUAAAGAUGAGAAGUGAAGCUCCAGGUUUGCUCUCUCUCUCUGUGUGUGUGUGUGUGUGUGUGUGUGAGACAGUCUUUACAGUCUGUUACACAGUCUGUAUGUUUACAGCAUCAAAACAUUUAUUUCUGGGUGGUUGCUAGAAGGUUGUUAGGGUAUUGCUAUGUGUUUGCUAGGAUAUUCUGAGUGGUUGCUAGGGUGUUGCUAGGGUAUUCUGGGUGUUUGCUAGGCUGUUAAACAGUCUGAAUGUUUACAGCAUCAAACCAUUCAUUUCUGGGUGGUUACUAGGAGGUUGUUAGGGUGUUGCUAUGGUAUUCUGAGUAGUUGCUAGGGUGUUACUAGGGUAUUCUGGGUUUUUGCUAGGGUGUUAAAUAGUCUGGAUGUUUACAGCAUCAAUACAUUCAUUUCUGGGUACUAGGCAGUUGCUAGGGUGUUGCUACAGUAUUCUGGGUGUUUGCUAGGGUGUUAAACAAUCUGUAUGUUUACAGCAUCAGAACAUUCAUUUCUGGGUGGUUACUAGAAGGAUGUUAGGGUGUUGCUAUGUGGUUUCUAGGGGGUUGCUAGGGUAUUCUGGGUGUUUGGCGGGGUGUUAAACAGUCUGGAUGCUUACAGCAUUAAAUAUUUACACUGAGAACUAACCAGCUACAGUGCUAAAGCAAAUAGCAACUAGAUAAAAAAAAAAAAAAAAAAAAAAGCCACAAAGUUUGAAAUAGUUUUUGGUUUGAAGUAACUUUAAAAGCUCAAAGUUUGAAGGCCAUACAGUCUCUCAGACAGAUAGAUCAAUUGCUGUGUGGUUGUUGGGGUAUUCUGGGUAGGUUGCUAGGAGGUUGUUAGGGUGUUGCUAUGUGGUUGCUAGGGUAUUCUGAGUGGCUGCUAGGGCUGUUAUUACCUAACCAUGUAACAUUGAACACUACACAUUUUUUAAUCAAGACAGGAAAUGCACUUGUCAUGUGUUUCUUGUCCUGAUUUAAUGUUAGUGUCUUCUGAGCAUUAUUGGGGUUGGAGGACCACCUUUGUCUCUCUCUCUCUCUCUCUCUCUCUCUCUCUCUCUCUCUCUCUCUCUCUCUCUCUCUCUCUCUCUCUCUCUCUCUCUCUCUCUCUCUGUCUGUCUCUGCUCCAGUGCUCUUUGACCUGGAAGUGAGACGUGCUGUCGACAGUUUGCAGGACGGACAGAUGCCAUCCUUUCAUCUUGUGGGAAAGAAUCGUACAGCUUUCUGAAAGUUCUUCAUGAUCCUCUCUUGGUCUUCUGUUCAGCCGGAGCCAGCUUGACUGGAUUCUGUAAAUAAGAUUAUACAUCAUCAAUUACAACAGCAAUUAAUCAUUCUUCUUUUUUUUUUUUUAAAGAAAUCUCAUCAUUUUGUUGCAAAGGCAUUUUAACUUGCUUUUCGGCGUUUUGGUUACUAGUGUGUUGCUAUGUGGUUGCUAGAAUGUUCUGGUAUUUGCAAAGGUGUUUUGACUGGUUGCUAGGGUGUUGGUAUGUAGUUGCUAGGGUGUUUUGGUAGUUGUAAAGCUUUUCUGAUUGGUUACUAGGGUGUUGCUAUGUGGCUGAUAGGGUGUUCUGGUUGCAAAGGUGUUUUGACGGGUUGCUAGGGUUUUCUGGUGGUUGCAAAGAUGUUCUGACUGGUUGCUAAGGUGUUGCUAUGUGGUUGCUAGAAUGUUAAGGUGGUUGCAAAGAUGUUUUGACUGGUUUCUAGGAUGUUGCUAUGUGGUUUAAAGGGUGUUCUGGUGGUUGUAAAUGUGUUGCCUGGUUGCUAGGGUGUUGCUAUGUGCUGUGUGUUCUGCUGGUUAAAGGUAUUUUGAUUGAAUCAUUCACGUCUGGAGCACAAACGCCUAACUUAAAAGGGUAGUGUUUGUCUAGUCUAUAGAGUGGAGGUCAGGCCUCUGUUUCUCUUUCCUUCUUCUUCCUUCUCCUGGUUAGUUCAGGAUUAGCGACUGUUUUCCAUUUGCUGCUGUAGAUCAGAUAUCCACAGGUCCACAUCACCCGAGUCCAUAUAAGGCCAGAGAGCAGAACACAGGAGGACACAUUUGACUGCUUAUCCACUGCUGUAUUUACAUAUUGUGUGUGUGUGUGUGUGUGUGUGUGUGUGUGCGUGCUUCCCAGAUGAGCAUUUUGUUGCUCAGAGGUUGCUCCUUUAUUGCUCAGGACUUCUUAUGUUACAUUUCUUUAUUUCUCAUAAAAUUCCUCAUAAAAAAUAAAACAGGCCCAAAUGAGUCACUGGUCAUCAUCCUUUAAGAAUAUAGAGCUAUCAAAUGAAUGUGGAGAUAAAGGUUUGAUUUCAUACUGAUAGAGGAGACACACGUGAGAUUUCUGAGGUCUUUUCCCUCAGAAGAAACAUCUGAAACUCUGUUUCUCCAUUCAGUCUCAUUGCUGUCUAGGACAAACAACUGAAAAGAAGUCUCAUUUGUGAUUUUUAAAAGCCGUAUCUGAACACACAGGAAAGUGACUCAAUAACACACUUCAUUAUCCACACUAGAGUUUAAAUAAGCGUCUAGUGUACUAGUUUGCAGUCUAGACUCCUGUAUGCUGUACGACAUGAUGAAUCGAGGCAAUAAUCUCGCCGUAUGCGUCCACUUCCAUUCCUGCAGUGCUUUUACAUCAGUUCUCUCCCCACGGUCACAUAUACAUUUGAUUGGUCAUGAAGUUGUUGACCUACAGUUUUAAGGUUAAUCAGUCUGGAAGAGGUGUCGUGUUUCUUUUCUUUCCUUCCUCAAAGAAAAUAAAUAAUAAAUAAACCUUCAUAAAUCCUCGCGUCGCCUUGUGUAAACAUUUAUUCUAGUGGAACAGGGCGCUCAUUCAACACGCGUUCACUGCUCUCGCUGACCUGGACGUGACGCUCAACUCAUAUAGACCCCAUACAGAAGACAGUUGGGUUAUUAUUUUCCAGCAAGGUGGUUGAUACUUAUAUUUUAACAGUGAAACAGAGACUGGGAAAACCAGAAAGAUAAAGCCAACUGUUGCAUUCUACAUUCAGUUCCAAACUUUAGUUUGUUGAAAAAUUCUUAUGCAUUUUAUGCAAAGUUAAGUACAUCUACCCAUAUACUAACAAUCAGUGAGUUUUUGUUUGUUUGUUUGUUUUUUAUUUUGUUUUGUUUGUUCUGGUGGUUGCAAAAGUGUUUUGACUGGUUGCUAGGGUGUUGCUAUGUGGCUGCAAAGGUAUUUUGACUGGUUGCUAAAGUGUUUCUGUGUUGUUGCUAGGGUGUUCUGGUGGUUGUAAUGGUGUUUUGACUGGUUGCUAGGGUGUUGCUAUAUGGUUAUUAGGGUGUUCCGGUGGUUCCAAAGGUGUUCUGACUGGUUGCUAGGGUGUUGCUAUGUGGUUGCAAAUGUGUUUUGACUGGCUGCUAUGGUGUUGCUAUGUGGCUGCAAAGGUGUUUUGACUGGUUGCUAGGGUGUUGCUAUGUUGUUUUGACUGGUUGCUAGGGUGUUCUGGUGGUUGCAAAGGUGUUUUUACUGGUUUCUAGGGUCUUCUGAACAGAAAGAUUUUAUAUUCAAUUUAAGUUUGUUGAAAAAUUCUUAUGCAUGUUAUUUAUAUGCUAAAGUUAAGCACAACUUCCUUUAUUCUGAGUAUGUUUUUUGUGCUGGUUAAGACCCGGUUGUGUCUGAUUGUUUCAUUAGCGCCGGCUAAUUGACCCUCAGCAGUAACUAAAGAGUGGCUGUGUUUCCCAGAAGCGGUUCGUUUGUAGGGCUUUUAGCGUUUAAUUGUCGGCAGUCAAAGUCUCGGCGGACUCUAUUACAGUGAUGUAUGGAGUAAUUCUUCCAGGAGACGGAGGGCCGUUGGAACACACAUCCAUCAAGUCAUGUGGCCAUUAAAGCCUUCCCAGAAUGCCCUCAGUGAACACUGAAGGAAGAAAAUAUGAGAAACAGAGCACAGUACCAGUGAGAUCUCAUCAAUGUCUCAAAUGAUUCUGCAGUGACACUGAGUACAGACUGAAAGUCUGCAAUCAGAGAUUUCAAUACGAGUUCAAAUAUUUCAAAUGAUCUGAGCUGCUGCACAUUCAUUUUACUGGACAGUAACUAGUGACUGUUUUAAAUUUUAGGAGAAACAUCUGAAACAACUGAGAACUUUUGUGAGGUCUGAAAAAGCAAUAACGUUCAUCUGGGACUGUUUGCAUCAGAAUAAGUCUGUUAGUUGUGUUGAUAAGCGAGCAGUGAGUGUGAAAUGUCUUGAACACACUCCGUGAGCUGAGUAAAGUGUGUUUUGUGGGUUUAAUUGUUUGCUUGUUUGAUCUGUAAAGUCGGCAGAAUAGUGGGAGAAAUAACAGCAGCUGCAGAUUUUUGACUAAAACUUUUUCACUCUCGUUUUGCUUUUCUGUUCUCUAGAUUCAGCUCCUUCAAUGUACAGUAAGUCUGUGAGAUUUUGUGGCAUGUGAAUGAGGAACAACAUUCUUCACAUUUAGGGUUCAGAAUGUAAGUUGCUUUCAAAGGUAGAGCAUGCUCGGAAUGACGCUUUGUGACGCUUGUCUCUGCUGUAAAAUGUGUUUGUGUUGAGUUCAGAGAAAAUGUUCAACCUUUAACACUGAGAGAAUUUGUUUCUGAAAACAUAAAUCAAAGCUUCAGCAUGUCGAACAUCUUAAAACUGUGUUCGUUUGGUUUUCCUGAGGUGAAUCUUUCAUAAACGGGUCGAGUCUUUCUUCAGAUGAUGCGUGUGCCCCAGGGGUGACUGGGUAAUUACUCGUGACUCAUAAAUUACGCUGCAGAACUUGCAUUGAGAUCAUUCUGUUUUGGUUGCUGUCAUUUAAAUGCCAGGUACUCUUUUUGUGACGUGUUUAUACACAACAUUCAUCAUAGAUCUUCAGUAUUCAUAUACCAGUGUAAUUUUGAACUAUGUUGGAGUACAGCGUAAAGGCAUGAAUAUGGUAAUAAUUCAGCACCACGGUAACAUUGUAUUUACCAUCUAAUACCGUCACAGUAAUUUGUAAUCUCUGUUGAGUCUCGCUCUCUGAUUGAGCUGUUAAACGUCUCUGGAUUCUGCUGCCCUGUGGAGCGUGACCUUUGACCCCACCGGGCCCAGGGUUCACGUGGCUUUGAACCCACAGGCGAUCGGGUGAGGGGAAUCCUGGGAAUAAAAUAGAGGGUUAAAGGUUCAAGUGCUCUAGAAAACACUCUCUAAAGUGGCUCUUAAACAUCUGAGGUUAAAGCCCUCCAGUGUUUCACAUGAUAGUUAUGAAUUUUACUACAGUACUGUGCAGGGUUAUUAUUGUUAACUAAACCAUCAAAAAAACAUUAAAAAUGUUACAUGAAAUAAAAUAAAAUGUAUAACUAUAACUAAAACUUGAUAAACUAAAACUAAUAAAUAAAAAUUAGUAAAUAGUAUGUAGACAAAAUUAUUCAAACUUUACCUAAAAUGAAAGUGAAAACAAAACAAAAAUAAAAUCUAAAUAAUAUUAAAUCAAAUUCAAAAUACGAAUUAGAAUGAUUGAAUUUUGAAUCCAAGCAAGUCUUUUGGUCUGAACAGACUCUUCACUUCUGAGGUAACAGUCUUUUCCUGAUGUUUAUUAGCACGACCUUUAUAUAGUUAAUUUUAUAUGGAUAUGAAUAAUAUUUGAUUAAAAAAAAAAAAAAAAAAAACCUAGAUUCUUAUGUUUUCUAAAGAAAAUAUGCCUGCAUUCUAGGCUGUUCUGAUUUACUAGGGUGUUGCUAUGUGGUUCCUAGAGUAUUCUGAGAGGUUGCUUGGGUGUUCUGAGUUGUUGCCAGGUUGUUGCUAAGCAGUUUCUAGGGUCAUUGGUUGCUAGGGUGUUGCUAUGUGGUUCCUGGGAGGUUGCUUGGGUGUUCUGAGUUGUAGCCAGGAUGUUUCUAAGCAGUUUCUAGGGUCAUUGGUUGCUAGGGUGUUGCUAUGUGGUUCCUGGGAGGUUGCUUGGAUGUUCUGAGUUGUAGCCAGGAUGUUGCUAAGCGGUUUCUAGGGUCAUUGGUUGCUUGGGCAUUGCUAUGUGGUUCCUAGAGUGUUCUGGAAGGUUGCUUGGGUGUUCUGAGUCGUAGCUAGGAUGUUGCUAAGCAGUUUCUAGGUUCAUUGGUUGCUAGGGUGUUGCUAUGUGGUUCCUAGAGUAUUCUGGGAGGUUGCUUGGGUGUUCUGAGUUGUUGCCAGGUUGUUGCUUAGCACUUUUUAGUGUGUUUUGACUGGUUGCUAGGGCAUUUCUAUGCUGUUCCUAGAGUGUUCUGGGUGGUUGCUUAGGUGUUCUGAGCUGUAGCCAGGAUGUUGCUAAGCAGUUUCUAGGGUCAUUGGUUGCUAGAGUGUUGCUAUCCUGUUCCUAGAGUGUUCUGGGAGGUUGCUUGGAUGUUCUGAGUUGUAGCCAGGGUGUUGCUAAGCAGUUUCUAGGGUCAUUGGUUGCUAGGGUGUUGCUAUGUGGUUCCUGGGAGGUUGCUUGGAUGUUCUGAGUUGUAGCCAGGAUGUUUCUUAGCACUUUCUAAGGUGUUCUGGGUGAUUGUUUUAACAGAUUUAGGGCAUUUGUAGCACCUUUCUUCUCACUGGCAUGCCUCAAACUUUCUACACAGAGCUCGUGCUUUUGCUCUUCUAAAAAAAGUAACAUUUAAAAUGAGGAACAGACAUCAGAUGUGGGUCAGAUGGCAAUGAGGGAGUAGCUGUCAGUCAAGCACUCCUGCACUCAUAUCCACAGAGAACCAAAACUCCAGGAUGACUUCUUGACUUUUCAGGUGAUGUCAUACAUUUUCAUGAGCGUUAGUCACCGGUGAUCUGUGAGGGAAUCAUCUCCAUAAACUAGAAAAAUAUGGGCUGACAGGAAAGAUCCGAUCUGAUUGUGCUAAUGUGAGAGAUCUGAGUUUGCUCAUACACGUUUGCUCUCUGAAUGCUGUUUUUGUUGAGCGUCUCUGAGUAAUGUGAGCUGCUCAGAGAUUGACGGAGGGAUGGAGGUGCUUCCUUCCACAACAAAGCGCCGGUGCCUCCAUUUUAAAUCCGUUACACGCAGAGCUGUGAAUGAUAUCAAGAUCUGCCCACAGAGUUUCCAUCCGUCAUGGAUUAUGUCAUUAUUUAUUUUCCCUCAUGUCCAUCUGAACUUGUCUGCUGUUUUUGUCUGUGAAACAUUCAGCACAUUUGAAGCAUCUUCAUGCAUCUCUGUUGAGUCGUCUAACCUGUAGAUCAGGUCUGAACGAACACAUAUGUUCAAUUAACUCUGUUUGCUUGUUUCUCCUUGUGUAAAUUUAUCAUUUGCUUGAGUGACGGGCCACAUUUCAGUGAAUCCACAGCCGCUGUCCAGGCGAUAGAUGGUCAUGCAAGUUUGGAGCGACUAAUGCGAUGUGACGCGGCGUGUGGAGGUCGUAAAGCCGUUCAGCGUCUCGCCUCGAUACUCGCGGAUCUGUUCUGACCUAAAUACACAACCACACCCACCGGCUCCAGAAACAAGAGCCGCACAGACACACUGAACAGAGACUGAGUGGAACCAUGUUCCGCUUCGUUCCCGUGUUGACCGUGAUGUGGGUUUGUAAGUGUUUCAGUCUUUACGUCUGCGUGACGACUCAUUUCUCAUAGAUGACAUGUCAUUUUUCAUGCUGUAUUCUCAUCCAGCUGUUGUCCUCGUCUCCGUCUGAUAAGCCAUUUGGCGUUUCUCUUCUCCUGCUAUGAGGACAUUUGUUCAGUGUUUUGUCUUUACCCAGAGGGACCUGAACACAAACAUCAGACCUUCACACUUCAGCUCGCUUUACUCUGAAAACACACACCUCAGAGUUCACAUGCUCACACCAGUCGAGAGCAGAAACUCGCUAAAAGCAGUGAAGCGACUAACUUAAGCAGAGUUUUCGGUAGCGUGUCUGUGAUGGACGAUCUGAUUUAAAGCUCAACCAAAUAACAGCGAGUCCUUUCCUUCAGGACAGAGAAGAUUUUCAAGCUCAAUGUCCUCUGAAAACACACGCUUCUCUGAUUUCAGUGUUUCUGUUUCAGAUUUUCUUCACCCAACGUCCUGAUGGAGUCAGAAAUUAACAUUAAAAAUGCAUGUGACAUCACUCCCCUGGUCACCUUUGACCCUUAAUUCAUGCAUUAUGCUUUUUGUCGCCGUCCAUUUCUGUCUCGUGCCCGCCGGUGAAACACACGACUGUAUUAAAGCGUGAAAACAGGUCUUAUUUGUGCCGCCAACCGGCACAGGCGUAAUUUUGAUCGCCGCCCCAUUAUGCUGCUGACAGACUCUGUCCUCCAUGAUGGACGGCCCUGUGUGAGGAAGAGUCCGUCGAGCCGGUCGCUUACCGCUGUGUGUCGGCGCGGUCCUUCCUCCAUCAAUCCUCCAUCCAUCACAGCAGGUGUUUGGACGCUCAGUCCACAGUGAUGGAGAGGAACAAAGCAGGGAGAACUAUGAUGAUGGAUGGAGACUUUAAGAGCACCGUUACACUACAGCAGCUUCUGUGGUCAGUGUCCAUCUGAGAUGUGAUGAAACACCAGCGCUCUGUGAGCUGUCCGGAUAAGUGCGCUUCUGUUAUAAGA